rnacentral:rRNA from 1 species
UAGUACGGCGAGUGAGAGGGAAGAGCCCAAGAUUGAAAGCUGGCGUCUUCGGCGUCCGCAUUGUAAUCUCAAGAAGUGUUUUCCGCUUCGGACCAAGCCUAAGUCCCCUGGAAAGGGGCAUCAUAGAGGGUGAUAAUCCCGUACAUGGCUUGGAGCGCCCGAGGCUUUGUGAUACGCUUUCUAAGAGUCGAGUUGUUUGGGAAUGCAGCUCAAAAUGGGUGGUAAAUGCCAUCUAAGGCUAAAUAUUGGGGAGAGACCGAUAGCGAACAAGUACAGUGAUGGAAAGAUGAAAAGAACUUUGAAAAGAGAGUUAAACAGUACGUGAAAUUGCCAAAAGGGAAGGGUAGGAGGUCAGAGAUGCGGCCUGGGAUUCAGCCUUGCUUUUGCUUGGUGUUUUUCCCAGAUUGCAGGCCAACGUCGGUUUUGGGCACUGGAGAAGGGUAGGAGGAACGUGGCACCCCUCGGGGUGUGUUAUAGCCUCCUACUGGAUACAGCGACCGAGACCGAGGACAGCAGCGUACUCGCAAGAGCGGGCCUUCGGGCACCUUUACGCUUAGGGCGUUGGCAUAAUGGCCCUCUACCACCCGUCU